ensembl:rRNA 5S_rRNA 5S ribosomal RNA
AUCUAAGGCCAUACCACUCUGAUCACACCCAAUCUCAUUUGAUCUUGGAAGCUAAGCAGGGUCAGGCCUGGUUAGUACUUGAAGGAGAGAGCUGUGUUCAUGUGAUUCCAAAGCUGGAUAUUUAAGAUA